rnacentral:misc_RNA from 1 species
CCUGUCUCUCCUAGUUUGGG